rnacentral:rRNA from 1 species
CGUGUGGUUCUAUUUUGUUGGUUUCUAGGACCGCCGUAAUGAUUAAUAGGGACAGUCGGGGGCAUCAGUAUUCAAUUGUCAGAGGUGAAAUUCUUGGAUUUAUUGAAGACUAACUACUGCGAAAGCAUUUGCCAAGGAUGUUUUCAUUAAUCAGGAACGAAAGUUAGGGGAUCGAAGACGAUCAGAUACCGUCGUAGUCUUAACCAUAAACUAUGCCGACUAGGGAUCGGACGAUGUUAUUUUUUGACGCGUUCGGCACCUUACGAGAAAUCAAAGUGCUUGGGCUCCAGGGGGAGUAUGGUCGCAAGGCUGAAACUUAAAGAAAUUGACGGAAGGGCACCACCAGGGGUGGAGCCUGCGGCUUAAUUUGACUCAACACGGGGAAACUCA